CAACCCUCAAGCAUCGCUUGGUGUUGGGCCCCGCCCGCUGCGGCCGGCCCCAAAGUCAGUGGCGGCACCGUACGGUCCUAAGCGUAGUAAUACUCUCGCUCUAGGGCCCUACGGCCGCGCGCCAGAACUCCAACUCCUAU
rnacentral:misc_RNA from 1 species